GACAGAGGGUGCAAACGUUGUUCGGAAUUACUGGGCGUAAAGCGAGUGUAGGCGGUUUGGUAAGUCGGAUGUGAAAGCCCCGGGCUCAACCCGGGAAGUGCACUCGAUACUGCCAAGCUAGAGUAUCGGAGAGGUUGGUGGAAUUCUCGGUGUAGAGGUGAAAUUCGUAGAUAUCGAGAGGAACACCGGUGGCGAAGGCGGUUCUCUGGGCCUUACCUGACGCUGAGGAGCGAAAGCGUGGGGAGCGAACAGG
rnacentral:rRNA from 1 species